rnacentral:rRNA from 1 species
ACGCUCGACACCUACGGGAGACAGCAGUGGGGAAUAUUGCACAAUGGGGGAAACCCUGAUGCAGCGACGCCGCGUGAGUGAAGAAGUAUUUCGGUAUGUAAAGCUCUAUCAGCAGGGAAGAAAAUGACGGUACCUGACUAAGAAGCCCCGGCUAACUACGUGCCAACAGCCGCGGUAAUCUGAGCGGGCUGGCAAGGC